GCGGAAGUGGCGAAAUUGGUAGACGCACUGGAUUUAGGUUCCAGCGCCGCAAGGUGUGAGAGUUCGAGUCUCUCCUUCCGCA
rfam:Neisseria animaloris strain DSM 21642 NODE_14_length_49450_cov_33.7829_ID_27, whole genome shotgun sequence.